rnacentral:rRNA from 1 species
AUUGAACGCUGGCGGCAGGCUUAACACAUGCAAGUCGAGCGGAGAUGAGGUGCUUGCACCUUAUCUUAGCGGCGGACGGGUGAGUAAUGCUUAGGGAUCUGCCUAUUAGUGGGGGACAACAUUCCGAAAGGAAUGCUAAUACCGCAUACGCCCUACGGGGGAAAGCAGGGGAUCUUCGGACCUUGCGCUAAUAGAUGAGCCUAAGGCGGAUUAGCUAGCUGGAGGGGUAAAGGCCUACCAAGGCGACGAUCUGUAGCGGGUCUGAGAGGAUGAUCCGCCACACUGGGACUGAGACACGGCCCAGACUCCUACGGGAGGCAGCAGUGGGGAAUAUUGGACAAUGGGCGGAAGCCUGAUCCAGCCAUGCCGCGUGUGUGAAGAAGGCCUUUUGGUUGUAAAGCACUUUAAGCGAGGAGGAGGCUACCUGGAUUAAUACUCUAGGAUAGUGGACGUUACUCGCAGAAUAAGCACCGGCUAACUCUGUGCCAGCAGCCGCCGCAGUAA